GGUGUCUACAAACGGAAGAGGAAACAGAAAGGGGAUAAGCCAUGGGGCAAACCCAUCGUCUUGGGUUUCCUGAACCCCAGACACCUCCUAGCUGUGGAUUCUGCUCCUCCCAGAUGGCUACAGGACAUCAGCAAACACGAGGCCCCAGAACUCCUGAAUGCGACCACCCAUCAUCCCCAGUGGAACUGGGCUGGAAGACAGAGGAGCAGGAGACCUAAGGAGUAGGCAUGGGAGACAUGCUGUAUGGCCAACCCUGCUGAGACAGUGUGAAGCCAAAUGUGCCUCUGUCUCUAACCCAGACUUCUGUGGUGGCUAGCAUCCGCUCUGUCCGACCCUGGAAACCCCACCCCACCCCCAGCUAUGGAUCUUUUCCCACAGAAAGGCAGCUGUCAGGACUUCCAUUUGCACCGAGAUAAAAAUAAACCAUCCAAGCCUU